UACGUAGGCAGCGAGCGUUGUUCGGAAUUACUGGGCGUAAAGAGUGUGUAGGCGGUGCUCUAAGUUCGGUGUGAAAUCUCCUGGCUCAACUGGGAGGGUGCGCCGGAAACUGGAGUGCUUGAGCGUGGGAGAGGAAAGCGGAAUUCCUGGUGUAGCGGUGAAAUGCGUAGAUAUCGGGAGGAACACCAGUGGCGAAGGCGGCCUUCUGGCUCGAUACUGACGCUGUAGCGCGAAAGCGUGGGGAGCGAACGGG
rnacentral:rRNA from 1 species